rnacentral:snoRNA from 1 species
AACGCCUGAGAAUGAUGAAAAUUAUGUUGGUAGGGACAUCUGAGUACCGUGAUGUUUACCAACUUCUCUGAUCGGGCUGC